AUUGAACGCUGGCGGCAGGCCUAACACAUGCAAGUCGAGCGGAUGAAGGGGGCUUGCUCCUGGAUUCAGCGGCGGACGGGUGAGUAAUGCCUAGGAAUCUGCCUGGUAGUGGGGGAUAACGUCCGGAAACGGGCGCUAAUACCGCAUACGUCCUGAGGGAGAAAGUGGGGGAUCUUCGGACCUCACGCUAUCAGAUGAGCCUAGGUCGGAUUAGCUAGUUGGUGGGGUAAAGGCCUACCAAGGCGACGAUCCGUAACUGGUCUGAGAGGAUGAUCAGUCACACUGGAACUGAGACACGGUCCAGACUCCUACGGGAGGCAGCAGUGGGGAAUAUUGGACAAUGGGCGAAAGCCUGAUCCAGCCAUGCCGCGUGUGUGAAGAGGGUCUUCGGAUUGUAAAGCACUUUAAGUUGGGAGGAAGGGCAGUAAGUUAAUACCUUGCUGUUUUGACGUUACCAACAGAAUAAGCACCGGCUAACUUCGUG
rnacentral:rRNA from 1 species